rnacentral:rRNA from 1 species
CAGACGGCUCAGUAACACGUGGUCAAGCUAACCUAUGGACGUGGAUAACCUCGGGAAACUGAGAAUAAACCGCGAUAGAUCAUGGUGCCUGGAAUGGCCCAUGGUCGAAAUAGUUUACUGCCGUAGGAUGCGACUGCGGCCUAUCAGUUUGUUGGUGAGGUAAUGGCCCACCAAGACUAUUACAGGUACGGGCUCUGAGAGGAGAAGCCCGGAGAUGGGUACUGAGACACGGACCCAGGCCCUAUGGGGCGCAGCAGGCGAGAAACCUUAGCAAUGUGCGAAAGCACGACUGGGUCAGUCCGAGUGAUUUCUGAUAAAGGAAUCUUUUGCCCGUCCUAAAAGCACGGGCGAAUAAGGGGUGGGCAAGUCUGGUGUCAGCCGCCGCGGUAAUACCAGCACCUCGAGUGGUCAGGACGAUUAUUGGGCCUAAAGCAUCCGUAGCUGGUUUUGCAAGUCUCCGGUUAAAUCCACCUGCUUAACAGAUGGGCCGCUGGAGAUACUACAAAACUAGGGAGUGGGAGAGGCAUACGGUAUUCGGGGGGUAGGGGAAAUCUCCGU